rnacentral:ncRNA from 1 species
UUUUCCAUCCUGACAUUAAAAGUUUUAUUCUAGCUAUGGAAUUUCUUAAUUUAUUGGUUCACAUGUGAGAUUUUUCAAGAAUUCUGGGGUGUCUUAAGGAUCCGGAUUUUGGUUUAUUCGCAGUGUUUUGUAUUAAGUAUCAAAGGAAUUUGGAAUUAGCAAUUUCUGGAGUCCCGGCAAAAUUCGUGCCAGCCGCCGCGGUUACACGAAAGGGGCAAAGAUAUUUUAUUGGUUUGUAAUUAGUUGUAAAUUAUGGUUAAAACAAAAAUUUUGUUAGGUGAAAUUUUAAAGUUUGAGUUAAUCAAUUAAGGUUGAACGAAGUUGUGAAAUUUGGUAGAAAGACUAGGAUUAGAUACCCUAUUAUUCUAAACGUUAAAGGAGGGCCUGAGUAGUAAGAGAUAAGAUCUUGAAACUCAAAGAAUUUGGCGGUGUUUUAGUCCAUUCAGAGGAAUCUGUCCCGUAAUCGAUAUUCCACGUUUACUUAACUUGGGUUAGUAGUCAGCUUGUAUACCGCCGUCAAAAGAGUGAUUCUAGAGAAUACCCUCAAGCUCCUUAAUUAGGGUUUAUGUCAGGUCAAGGUGCAGCUUAUGCCCAAGGGGUGAUGGAUUACAAUAAGGAUACUUAAACGAAAGAUUAUUUGAAAAAGUAGUUGGAAGGUGGAUUUGAGUGUAAUGAGAUUAAAGAAAGUUUUGUGAAAAAGGCUCUAAAACAAGCACACAUCGCCCGUCGCUCUCGUUUGUUAAGGCGAGAUAAGUCGUAACAAAGUAGGUGUACCGGAAGGUGCCCCUAGAAAGUU